UACGUAGGGUCCGAGCGUUGUCCGGAAUUAUUGGGCGUAAAGAGCUCGUAGGUGGUUUGUCGCGUUGUUCGUGAAAACUCACAGCUCAACUGUGGGCGUGCGGGCGAUACGGGCAGACUAGAGUACUGCAGGGGAGACUGGAAUUCCUGGUGUAGCGGUGGAAUGCGCAGAUAUCAGGAGGAACACCGGUGGCGAAGGCGGGUCUCUGGGCAGUAACUGACGCUGAGGAGCGAAAGCGUGGGGAGCGAACAGG
rnacentral:rRNA from 1 species